rnacentral:rRNA from 1 species
ACUCCUACGGGAGGCAGCAGUGAGGAAUAUUGGACAAUGGGUUAGCGCCUGAUCCAGCCAUCCCGCGUGAAGGACGACGGCCCUAUGGGUUGUAAACUUUCUUUUGUGAUAGGGAUAAACCUACUCUCGUGAGAGUAUGCUGAAGGUUACUAUACGAAUAAGCACCGGCUAACUCCGUGCCAGCAGCCGCGGUAAUACGGAGGGUGCAAGCGUUAUCCGGAUUUAUU